rnacentral:rRNA from 1 species
AGUGAACGCUGGCGGUAGGCCUAACACAUGCAAGUCGAACGGCAGCACAGUAAGAGCUUGCUCUUACGGGUGGCGAGUGGCGGACGGGUGAGGAAUACAUCGGAAUCUACUUUUUCGUGGGGGAUAACGUAGGGAAACUUACGCUAAUACCGCAUACGACCUACGGGUGAAAGCAGGGGAUCUUCGGACCUUGCGCGAUUGAAUGAGCCGAUGUCGGAUUAGUUAGUUGGCGGGGUAAAGGCCCACCAAGGCGACGAUCCGUAGCUGGUCUGAGAGGAUGAUCAGCCACACUGGAACUGAGACACGGUCCAGACUCCUACGGGAGGCAGCAGUGGGGAAUAGUGGACAAUGGGCGCAAGCCUGAUCCAGCCAUACCGCGUGGGUGAAGAAGGCCUUCGGGUUGUAAAGCCCUUUUGUUGGGAAAGAAAAGCAGCAGGUUAAUACCCCGCUGUUCUGACGGUACCCAAAGAAUAAGCACCGGCUAACUUCGUG